GAUGAACGCUGGCGGCGUGCUUAACACAUGCAAGUCGAACGGAAAGGCCCAAGCUUGCUUGGGUACUCGAGUGGCGAACGGGUGAGUAACACGUGGGUGAUCUGCCCUGCACUUCGGGAUAAGCCUGGGAAACUGGGUCUAAUACCGGAUAGGACGAUGGUUUGGAUGCCAUUGUGGAAAGUUUUUUCGGUGUGGGAUGAGCUCGCGGCCUAUCAGCUUGUUGGUGGGGUAAUGGCCUACCAAGGCGUCGACGGGUAGCCGGCCUGAGAGGGUGUACGGCCACAUUGGGACUGAGAUACGGCCCAGACUCCUACGGGGGGCAGCAGUGGGGAAUAUUGCACAAUGGGCGCAAGCCUGAUGCAGCGACGCCGCGUGGGGGAUGACGGCCUUCGGGUUGUAAACUCCUUUCGCUAGGGACGAAGCGUUUUUGUGACGGUACCUGGAGAAGAAGCACCGGCUAACUACGUG
rnacentral:rRNA from 1 species